AGGACGAACGCUGGCGGCGUGCUUAACACAUGCAAGUCGAGCGGAAAGGCCCUUCGGGGUACUCGAGCGGCGAACGGGUGAGUAACACGUGAGCAACCUGCCCCUGGCUCUGGGAUAGCCUCCGGAAACGGGGAUUAAUACCGGACAUGACCCUUGACCGCAUGGUUGGGGGUGGAAAGUUUUUCGGCCAGGGUGGGGCUCGCGGCCUAUCAGCUUGUUGGGGGGGUGACGGCCCACCAAGGCGACGACGGGUAGCCGG
rnacentral:rRNA from 1 species